GCCAGCCAGGCCCCCCCUAAAUUACUUCUUUUUAACAAUGAUGCUUGGAUUAGACAUCAAAUAGUUAACUGUUUUCUUAGUUAUUUUUUUGUUGACAAAUUUUGGAGACGUGCUUGCUUCUAUUAAACCAACGAAUUUGAAUUAAUUUUUACUUAUCAAAGAUUAUCGCAGAUCGUGUGAACUUGAAAAAAUAUUUGGGUUACUUUCUACAUUUCUGAGAGUAUACUUGAUUUAUAUAAACAAAUUUCUUUAAGCCAAUUAAAAUAGAGUUCUUUACAAAUUAGUUUUGGCAAUACCAUCCAGAGGUAGAAAAAUAUCACACGUCUAUAAUGUACAUACACAGACACACAGAUAACCUGACACGCAGAGCUCUUCCAGCUUGUGUUUUAAAAAGUUUAGCCGUGUCUCGGAUACAAAACUCAAAAAAACUAGAUCCAAACUGUGUUUCUGGCACAUGCACUAAGUUAAGGUUACAUGGUCAGAUGACCAAAGUUUUUACGAAAGAUUUGUAUUUGCAUGCUACAUGCAAGGAUCCUUCCAGAACUGUUUUUUGAGGUCAUUUUGUCUUUUAGAAGCUUCUCGGCCUCUCUCUCCAUCCGGUCUCCUGGUUUGUGAGAUGAGACUUUCAGCCCCGGGAAUCUCUGGGAUACCUUCCAUGGCCAGCCCUCUACGAUUCUAACAGCUAAGGACGUUUCAUCUGCCGGAAUAUUCUCUCUCCCACCCCUCCUGUAUUUUAGGGUCCCUGUGAAACUGUGCACACCGUAUCUAUCAAGCUCACUGCCUAGAAAGGGGGCCCAGUCAGCCCAGCGUGCGUGAGACGCUGGAAGGAGCCGGGGCGCAUCUCGGCGUGGGGCAGGGGCACUCCGAGGCCAGAAGGGGUGAUGCAGUUACAGGAGAAGCAGCGGGCGCAAGGACUCUCUGACCUCCUUUGUGCCCUGGAAGCAGGACCUAAGUGUCCCCCGUGAAGGUCCGCGUCCUGUCCCGGGAGGAAGGGAGACAGCCUUCUUGCCAGCGAUGGGGACGUCAAGGCCGAGAAGGCUGUGUAAGCAAACCGGCUACUUCUUCGCUGCUUCGCUACCCCAAGCCCCAGCUUCUGUCAGUGCUUCACAGAUUCAUGGUUUCUUUGUCUAAAAGGUGUAAAAGCUGCUAGCUUGGCUCACUUCUUGGAGUCUCCUAUUUCUAUGGGCUCCCAUACGUACACAAUUAAAUUUGUUUUUCUCCUGUUAA